UGGGUUCAGUUCCAGACUACCACAAUAAAGAAAAUAUCACAAUAAAAGCAAUUCACACAAAUUUUUUGUUUCCUAGUGAUAAAUAUCAUGGUGUGUGUAUGU